ensembl:lncRNA
UUUCCGGGCUGAUCCAUCACCGUGACAUUCAGCAGAGCCUCGCAGAGGAGACGAUGCGGACACAUGACUGAGAAGGUCAGGUGUCCCGCCACUCUGCCGUCCACCAAUCACAUGCUCAAAUUGAAAUGUUCCUUUGACGUCUUGAUGAACGACCCCAAGCUGAGCUGAGCACACUCCCACAGGCGCCAUGGGGCGGCCAUCUUCAAGGUUGUCCUGACGACCGCGUCGCCGUGGACCAGAGACCUCAGUGUACUCCUAUCCCCCCCGGGGUUCGCCCGGAACACAGACCUCAUCAGGGGGGAUGAAAAGGAUCCAAAACCAUGACAACCGAUAAGGUUAAAGAGUACGGAGGAGGGUGACGAUGAUGGAGGGAGACAGAAGGUCAGAGAAUGGAUUGUGCACCGGAAUGUGCUGUACUCUCGCGCCGCUCCCGCUGUUACCCUCGAGGACAGAGCAACAGGGAGG